rnacentral:lncRNA from 1 species
CAGGAUCCAGCCGGUCCGCUCUGACCCAGUCAGCAUGCCAGGGUCAUCCCGUCCAGUCUCUGAUCGAAGGGGAGUUUCCACCGUGAUCGAUGCUGCCUCAGCUGUCCCUGAAGCAGCGACCUUGUCAGCCCACUGAGGUCUCUCUGCAGACUCUGGCACACAUCUGAAGGAAGUGGACCAAGAGCAGCUUUGUUACUCCAGACAAAGUGCUAAAAGAAACAGAAAGAAACAGCAGAGAAAAACCACACGACAUCUCGUGUUCAAGACUGCAGCCGUGUUAAACAUAUGGGCUCGAGUUCCAUCCCUUGGAAACCAGCAGCUGUUCUCAGCUUGCCAACCCCAAGUAAACAUCGCCUGUGUAGAAGAGUGAGUCUGGAAUGGUUGAGUAAAAACCCAAAAGCUGUUUAGGGAGGAAGCAGGGAAAAAAUUAACAACAAUAAAAGGCCACCCUGAAACAACAGCUAGAAGAGAAAGAAAAUUCCAUUCCGAUAAGCAUGUUUUCCUGCCCUCCUUACACUAUGCUGUGGGGUACAGAUGGCCCCAGAGCAACUUCAGUUUUAAAAGGUUUGGAGGCGACCUUGUCUCCUUACUGAAAACCAUACGAUUGUCUCAGUUACAGUGAUUAUUUAAUAAAAUAUAAUUAUCUGAAUAAUUC